rnacentral:lncRNA from 1 species
CCAGCAGCCCCCUUUUUUUUCAGAGGGUUACAAACCCAUGUGGGGAUGAGGCCUGGUCUUGUGGAAACUGAGCUUAGCUUCACGGGUAUAUAUAAUUAUGGUUCAGCCUGAGACAAGGU